CCUACGGGCGGCAGCAGUGAGGAAUAUUGGUCAAUGGACGAGAGUCUGAACCAGCCAAGCCGCGUGAAGGAUGACUGUCCUAUGUGUUGUAAACUUCUUUUAUCAGGGAACAAAAUGUUCCACGUGUGGGCUUAUGAAUGUACCAUAAGAAUAAGCAUCGGCUAACUCCGUGCCAGCAGCCGCGGUAAUACGGGGGCUACGUGCGUUAUCCGGAUUUAUUGGGUUUAAAGGGAGCGGAGGCGGAUUGUUAAGUCAGUGGUGAAAGGUUGGGGCUCAACCGUAGAAUUGCAGUUGAAACUGGCAGUCUGGAGUAGGAGAGAGGUGGGCGGAAUGCGUGGUGUAGCGGUGAAAUGCAUAGAUAUCGCGAAGAACUCCGAUUGCGAAGGCAGCUCACUGGACUGACACUGACGCUGAGGCUCGAAAGCGUGGGUAUCAAACAGGAUUAGAUACCCCGGUAGUC
rnacentral:rRNA from 1 species